GAGGAAGCCCAGGUGAGGAAGAGGAUGGAUGAGAAGGAAACUGGGUCUCCGUCAAGUCAUUUAAACUCCAGGCACAUGACUGAAGGCUGAGUAUUUCCGUGAGAUGGACAUCUUCCGCCUUAUUCCAAUGUGAUGUGGGUUGUGUGCCUUGCGCAACUGUAAUACUCCCAACAGAUGUGCUCCAGGGUGUCUUUCUCAGCCCACGGUGGAUUUGAAGGGUCCUGCGCCCGGAACCAGGCUCGCAGUCGGGAACAGAAGAGCGGAUCCGGACGGCGACGCGCCCGCGGGCUACCUCGGGGCAGAGGAGAGCUCAGGUCAGCGCGUCGCAGGCUUCACUCCGGGGCUCUCGCUAAGGAAAAUGAACCCGUCCUCCAGGUCCCCGCGCCCCAGAGCCGCCGGAGCGCGCGGCUGCGCAGCCCGGGAUACAGAGCUGCUGCUCCGGGGGGCGGCGCCCCGGAACCCGGCUGGGCUCGGAUUUCCGAAGCUGCAAUCUCUCUGCGCUGCGCAGACCAGCGCCCGCUCCCCUCCCGGGCCGGGCUGCGCGGGCCGGAAACCAGAAUCAGAUCAAUGCUCCUGUGAUCAGGGCGGCAGCCGAGGGGCCGCGGACCGAGACGCGUGAAGCCCGCGCCAUCGCCCACGAGGAACCCAAGCACUGCGUGCUGCAAGCAUGCACGAGCGAGAACGGACUGAACUGUAACAAACAGCCACAGAGCUGCUGACCAAACCCAGAAGAAUUGUGGUCUCACCCUCGGAACCCAGGAGUCUGAAAUCCAGGUGUUGGCAGGGCGAGCUUCCCUCUGAAGGCUCUCUCCACACCACGAACGAUGACACCGCCCGAGUUUAUUGGAAGCAUAGCCCUGGACCCCCGUCCGUAAUUCCUGAGUCACAGCUGUUUAAC
rnacentral:lncRNA from 1 species